GGAGGGGUGCCGGAGCGGCUGAACGGGGCGGUCUCGAAAACCGUUGUGUGGGUAACCCCUGCACCGAGGGUUCGAAUCCCUCCCCCUCCG
rnacentral:tRNA from 1 species